UAGGGAAUCUUCGGCAAUGGGGGCAACCCUGACCGAGCAACGCCGCGUGAGUGAAGAAGGUCUUCGGAUCGUAAAACUCUGUUGUUAGAGAAGAACACGAGUGAGAGUAACUGUUCAUUCGAUGACGGUAUCUAACCAGCAAGUCACGGCUAACUACGUGGCAG
rnacentral:rRNA from 1 species